rnacentral:rRNA from 1 species
GUGAACGCUGGCGGUAGGCCUAACCCAUGCAAGUCGAACGGCAGCACAGUAAGAGCUUGCUCUUACGGGUGGCGAGUGGCGGACGGGUGAGGAAUACAUCGGAAUCUACUUUUUCGUGGGGGAUAACGUAGGGAAACUUACGCUAAUACCGCAUACGACCUACGGGUGAAAGCAGGGGAUCUUCGGACCUUGCGCGAUUGAAUGAGCCGAUGUCGGAUUAGCUAGUUGGCGGGGUAAAGGCCCACCAAGGCGACGAUCCGUAGCUGGUCUGAGAGGAUGAUCAGCCACACUGGAACUGAGACACGGUCCAGACUCCUACGGGAGGCAGCAGUGGGGAAUAUUGGACAAUGGACGCAAGCCUGAUCCAGCCAUACCGCGUGGGUGAAGAAGGCCUUCGGGUUGUAAAGCCCUUUUGUUGGGAAAGAAAAGCAGCAGGUUAAUACCCCGCUGUUCUGACGGUACCCAAAGAAUAAGCACCGGCUAACUUCGUG